rnacentral:rRNA from 1 species
ACGGAAGGCAGCAGUGGGGAAUAUUGCACAAUGGGCGCAAGCCUGAUGCAGCGAUGCCGCGUGAGGGAAGAAGGUUUUCGGAUUGUAAACCUCUGUCAACAGGGACGAAAAUGACGGUACCUGUGAAGGAAGCUCCGGCUAACUACGUGCCAGCAGCCGCGGUAAUACGUAGGGAGCAAGCGUUAUCCGGAAUUACUGGGUGUAAAGGGCGUGUAGGCGGAGCUGCAAGUCAGAUGUGAAAUCCCGGGGCUUAACCCCGGAACUGCAUUUGAAACUGUAGCCCUUGAGUAUCGGAGAGGCAAGCGGAAUUCCUAGUGUAGCGGUGAAAUGCGUAGAUAUUAGGAGGAACACCAGUGGCGAAGGCGGCUUGCUGGACGACAACUGACGCUGAGGCGCGAAAGCGUGGGGAGCAAACAGGAUUAGAUACCCUGGUA